rnacentral:lncRNA from 1 species
CCCCAUUGCUCAAGAGGUGAGUCCAUGUCUUAUUCAAACUCUGUGUUCCUAGUUUCUAAAAGCCAGAACAUGGUUCAGUAAAUGUAAGGUAAGUAAAUAAUUGUUGCUUCCAUUUCCUUUAAAAAGCCAUGCCUCUGUCCUACCCCCAGCUCUAAGAGGACUUACCCUUGCUUUUCAUGAUACCUUACAGGUUUGUUUAUGUGUGGGAUACCACAAGCAGGAGAAUAUUGUAUAAGCUGCCCGGCCAUGCUGGCUCCAUCAAUGAAGUGGCUUUCCACCCUGAUGAGCCCAUCAUUAUCUCAGCAUCGAGUGACAAGAGACUGUAUAUGGGAGAGAUUCAGUGAAGAUAUGGACUGGAAGACUCCAAGGCCGCUUGUCUUUGAGACCUCAGACUGCAUAAGUGAUGCCAAAUGUUGGAUGUCCAGGCUAGCACCCUCCCUUCAGAUGACCAUUGCUAGCAAGAAACAGGAGGCGGUGGCCAUAUUCCAAAAACCACUUCUGUCCCAUUUCACCAGGAUGACUAAGGCAAGCUCCCUGUGGCCUCUAAAAACCACCUGCCAGAUUUCAGGGACUGUUUUUUUUUUUCUUUUUCUUUUUUCCUGUUUUCUAAUGCAGGCCCAAUGUGACAAAUUUGUUGGUUGGGAUUUUUUUUUUUUUUUUGUAACUGGCUUGUAUGAUAUUUUCUUUCUGUAUUUCUCUAUAUCAUUUUGUAUUAAAAGCCAAAUAGAUGCCUUUUUACAAGA